CGCAGAGGCUAAUGCAAUAGUAUUACCAGGAUGCCACCCAGGACACACUUUGGUGGAAAGCUGCUGCCAUCUCAUGUGACAAAAGCAGUGGUGCGGUGUCUCUACAAAGAAUCGAUGACAACACUUGAGGUGCGUGUUGUCGGGCUGUCUUCCUUCAGGAAUCUGUGGAGAAAAUUGCUGCCCCACAUCUCAAGCACUAAGCCGAGGACAGACCUGUGGUGGCAGUGCCAGAGGAACAACUAUCAGGUCUUCAGAUCUGCCAGAAGCUGUUAAGUCAGCCAAGCUGAAGAAGCAAGAGCAGCAUCUCUUGCUUGUUCAGAGUGAGCGGUCUGUCUACCAGAAAGUGGUUGCUGAAUGCAAGACUAUCAAGACCUGCAGUUGUCUCUGUGGGCCCCUACUGAACCAGGAAGCAAAGACAUCAGGAUGCGUUGCAUCUUUAAUUUUGCUCAACAAGUGCACUAUCCUUCUGACCCUAUGCAGCCAGGUCCAAUCUACUUUAUAACUCCUCGCAGGUGUGGAUUGUUUGUCUGCUGUGAAGGAAUACCACAAGUCAACUACUUGAUUGAUGAAGGCAUGUCAUCCAGCAAAGGCAGCAGCACAGUCAUCAACUACAGAGUUGGGGAAAUGCGUGUGGACCCUAAUUGUGAUAACUACAGUGGCCAGAACAAGUUUGUGCUCUGGUAUUGUGCCUGGCGGACCAUGCACUAGCUCCACCAUGGUCUGGACCUUCACUUCCU